rnacentral:rRNA from 1 species
GACGAACGCUGGCGGCGUGCUUAACACAUGCAAGUCGAGCGGUAAGGCCCUUUCGGGGGUACACGAGCGGCGAACGGGUGAGUAACACGUGGGUGACCUGCCCUCAGCUCUGGGAUAAGCCUGGGAAACCGGGUCUAAUACUGGAUAUGACUCCAUGACGCAUGUUGUGGGGUGGAAAGCCUUGUGCGGCUGAGGAUGGGCCCGCGGCCUAUCAGCUUGUUGGUGGGGUGANGGCCUACCAAGGCGACGACGGGUAGCCGGCCUGAGAGGCGACCGGCCACACUGGGACUGAGACACGGCCCAGACUCCUACGGGAGGCAGCAGUGGGGAAUCUUGCGCAAUGGGCGAAAGCCUGACGCAGCGACGCCGCGUGAGGGAUGACGGCCUCGGUU